rnacentral:misc_RNA from 1 species
GCCACAGGCAAAGGCCUUCUGGAGGUAUGGUUUUAGGAAACAUCCUUUUUUUCAUUAUGUUUUUCAACAUCUUAGCUAGUUACUGACUUUAAAUUGCAAUUAUGGAUAUUUUGUUCUGUUUAAAAUUAUGUCAUUGAUUUAUGGGACAACUUAGAUAUACCGAGUACACAGAAACUUCAAAGCUUUUACCAGAUUGAACUAUGUGCGAAAUAUUGAUGGUUUAUCCACUGAUGAGACUUGAUAUUCUACCUAUUGGUUACCCACUUAUAACUUUUCCCUACUAGUAUAAAAUAUUAAUGUAAUUUGAAACUGAUAAAGUAACUCCAUUUGUGAUUGUGAAAAAUGAUCUGAUGAACUUUUCAGGAAUAUGAAUUGCCCUUGAUGUGCUGUUAGAAUGCAUAACUAAGAAUCCUAUUUAAUUCCAAUUUUGGACUGCCUCAGUUCUGCAUUUGAGGCUUAUUUUUUUUUGAACAAAAGUGACAUCCGAUGAUUAGAAAGUAUUUUUUUAGCUCUUUGUCCACGCAUUUUUCCAGGCCUUCCCCCUCCUCCUCCACUUUUUCUCCCUCUCCCUCUCAAAAGAGAUUAAUCCUGUUAAAGUGGUUGCUUGUAAGAUACUUUUAAUUGGAGAUUGAAUUAGAUGGAGAAAGGAAUCCAUUAUAAUUGGCUUGAGCUCAUUGGAGACUGAAAUUUUUGUUGGGUUGGUUUGAGUACAAUGUACUGCAUAUGGCGCAUGGGGGUCAUCAUCUCCUCUCACUCUAUUCUUUCUUUCUUUUUCUUCCUUUUUAUUGCCUUUUUUUAUUUUUUUUUUUCUCACAGAAAAAUUCCUCCUCACUCCCCCCUACAUGCCUCACCUUUGAAGGGCAUGUAGGUUGCAUAGAGGGGGAGUAAAAGAGAUUGAUGAUCCCAUUCCUAGAUAUAUGCUUGAUCUCGCCCUCCCUUUACACAUGCACAUCAGAUACGUUAUGCAAUGACACACAAUCUUCUCUAUUAAUGAGCAAAUAUCUUAUCAAAUCUAUGUUCAUUUUGGCUUUGCAGAAUUUUGGGCUUACAACACCCU